rnacentral:rRNA from 1 species
ACAGGGAUAGCCCGAGGAAACUCGGAUUAAUACCUGAUAUUCUUUAUAUUUCGCAUGAAAUUAAAAGGAAAGGUCAGCCGAACUAAGAUGAGCUCGCGUUCUAUCAGCUAGUUGGUGAGGUAAAAGCUCACCAAGGCUACGACGGAUAGCUGGUCUGAGAGGACGAUCAGCCACACUGGGACUGAGACACGGCCCAGACUCCUACGGGAGGCUGCAGCAGGGAAUAUUGCGCAAUGAGCGAAAGCUUGACGCAGCGACACCCGCGUGUGGGAUGACCGAUCU